GUAACAAUAGCUUAAAUUAGAGCAUUGGUCUUGUAAGUCAAAGGUGAAUAGUAAUAUUCUUGUUACU
rnacentral:tRNA from 1 species